UUAUUACAAUUUAUCAUCUGA
rnacentral:piRNA from 1 species